rnacentral:rRNA from 1 species
UACGUAGGGAGCAAGCGUUGUCCGGAAUUACUGGGCGUAAAGGGCUCGUAGGUGGCCAACUAAGUCAGACGUGAAAUCCCCAGGCUUAACCUGGGAACUGCGCCUGAUACUGGAUGGCUAGAGUUUGGGAGAGGGAUGCGGAAUUCCAGGUGUAGCGGUGAAAUGCGUAGAUAUCUGGAGGAACACCGGUGGCGAAGGCGGCAUCCUGGACCAACACUGACGCUGAGGAGCGAAAGCCAGGGGAGCAAACGGG